AAUUUCGAAUUUCUAUAGAUAACGUGAAAUUCGAUAAGCGCACAUUAACGACUUAUGUCGAUACCAAAUUAACUAUUCGCUGUCACGAUUAAAGCAUACACCUAUUAUAAUGGGCAUAGAGUAUACUGCAGUUGUAGACACUGCUGCGGUACGGUCACAGAGUAUAUAUAUAUGUAUUAUGGUUGAACGGUAUUAUCUAAUUUUAUCUAAUUAUGAAAGAGUUUCGUGUGACUGUGUGAGAGAGAUCGUUAGUGGAUACCUCGAACUAUGAUUAUAACUAUAACUAUAAUCAUAGUUCGUGGUGGAUACUGGAUACACCGGCGACAGACAGAGACCGUCACGCGAAACGAGUUGCCUAAUUGCCAAUAAUUGGCGAUACGCCCGGUCAAAUACUAUACCUAAAUCUAUAGUAUUUGGUCAGGUGUCGUACUUAAUUAAUAAUUUUGUGGAGUGAUAUGGAAAAUACGUUUUUAUCGCAGGCAUGAUGUGUUACCGGUAACGACAGAAAACAUAUUUCAUUUGCCUUUGGACGCUCAGCGAGUAACUAAAUGUUUUUAAUUGCUCAUUACAUGUUAUAGUUCUAUCAAGAUUUUCUAGGAAGAAAUUUGAGUUCAAGAGCGUUCAAGAAGUUAUAUGUGCUAGGUAUGUGCAAUAUACAAGCGAUACGUAUCGGACUCAGACUUCGAUACGAGCCGAAUGGAAAUGAGCACGUUCAUAAAUAUUUGGGCCGCAGUGUACAGGUGUAAAAUGCAAAUAUAUACCAGCAAGCACAGUCUGUCCGCCGGUAAUCUAUCUUGCUCGCUAGUCAACCAACAGAAAUGUACAUUGAAGACGGAUGCCUUUAUUUGAUCCUUCGAAACUAUUUAGUCCACUGCAAUGGAAAAAGUCAGUCAAAGAUUUUGAACCAAAAAUGCAUCAAUGUACUCAAAAUCAAGUACGAAUACGGAAAAAAGAAUUUAAUUUAAAUGAAAAUUCUCCAGUGUUGUUUAUUUGUAAAGUCUUCACAUAACACCAAAUCGCAUGGCAAUGAAUGUAUUUGAAACCAAUCAUACGUAUAACAACAACCAACUUCUCCAGAGCACUUCAGGUGUAAUGACAACAAAAUAUAGAAGAAGGAAACUGACUUUACAGGAAAGCACUUACAACAUUUGGACUUUCCAGAAUUUGUGCCAUUUACACCAU
rnacentral:lncRNA from 1 species